AUACGUAGGUGACAAGCGUUAUCCGGAUUUACUGGGCGUAAAGGGCGUGUAGGCGGUCUUGCAAGUCAGAAGUGAAAUUCCUGAGCUCAACUCGGGCGCUGCUUCUGAAACUGCAGGACUUGAGUGCUGGAGGGGAUAGCGGAAUUCCUAGUGGAGCGGUAAAAUGCGCAGAUAUUAGGAAGAACACCGGUGGCGAAGGCGGCUAUCUGGACAGUAACUGACGCUGAGGCGCGAAAGCGUGGGGAGCAAACAGGAUUAGAUACCCUGGUAGUCCACACUGUAAACGAUGAAUGCUAGGUGUAGGGGGUAUCGACUCCCUCUGUGCCGCAGUUAACACAAUAAGUAUUCCGCCUGGGGAGUACGGCCGCAAGGUUGAAACUCAAAUGAAUUGACGGGG
rnacentral:rRNA from 1 species